rfam:Dipodomys ordii contig_65636, whole genome shotgun sequence.
GGUGGCUCAGUGGUAGAGUGCUUGCCUUGCAUGCAUGAGGCCCUGGGUUUGAUCCUCAGCACCA